AUGAGCAUUAAAAAGGAGAGAGAGAGGGAGAAGUAUCUCUUGAGAAAGUACAUCCUAUUCCCAAGUGUGAAACCCUUUGUUAUACAAGACGUGCCACAAGAAAUGAGAGUAAAAGGUAAGAAACCCAAGGAAAAGUUCCAAAAAUUGCAAACUGACAGUAUGCAAGAAGAGUUUGCCUCAUUAGCAUAUUUAAUUAGCUUUUUGAUGUUGACUAACAUACUGCGAUUUGGGAAUUGGUUGCUGUGAUGAAUUAUGGCCCCCAAAGAUGUCUGUAUCCUAACUGCCAACACCUGAAAAUGUUGCCUUAUAUGGCAAUAGGGAUUUUGCAGAUAUGAUUGAGUUAAGGAUUUUAAGAUAGGAAGAUCAUCCUGGAUUAUCAGGGUGGGUCUGAAGUAAUCAUAAUGGUCCUUAUGAGAGAUGCCAGAGGAGUCAGAGUCAGACAGAAGGAGAUGUGAAAACUGAGGCAGAGGGAUGGAGAAAACUUUGAAUAAGUUAUCCUCCUGGCUUUGAAGAUACAAGAAGGGAGCCAUGAUUCAAAUGAUGUAGAUAGCCCUAGGAAUAUGGCAAAGACAAGAAAAUGGAUUCUUCCCUGAAUCCUCUGGAAGGAACUAUACUGCAUACUCAUUUUAGACUUCUGACCUCUAGAACUGUAAGAGAAUGUAUUUGUGUUGUAUUCAGUUGCUAAAAUGUGGAAUUUGUUAUAGCAUCAAUAGCAAACUAAUACAGUUGUCUAUAAUUCAUCAAACUUAGAAGAUUUCAGAUACAGAUUCAGACUUUUUUAUUUUUGCUUCUGUUGAGAACUGGAAAAUUUAAUGAGGGCUGAGUAUCGCCACCUCCUUCUGUCAAUGACUGGUUAAAGCUGUUCCCUUUAGAGGGUGUACGUUCUCUAGUCUACCAAUGCUUUCAGACUAUGUAUUUUUUUUCUUUGAAAUCUCUGGUAGACAUUUGAAUUUGUGACUCCUGCUAUGUGGUCUUAUACUUUGCAUUUUACUUAAUAUUCAUCUCAUACUUAGCUUUUUAAAGAAUUAUAUCUAAUUAUCCAAUUUUUACAAAUGGCAUUCUAUUAAACUAUUUGUAUCAGGCUAUUCUCACAUUGCUAUAAAUAAAUACCAGAGACUGGGUAAUUUAAAAAGAAAAAAGGUCUAGUUGGCUCACACUUCUGAAGGCUGUACAAGAUGCGUGGUGCUGGCCUCUUCCUGGCUUCUGGGAGGCCUCAGGAAACUUACAAUCAUGGUGGAAGUGGGGAGCAGAAAACAUCACAUGGCCAGAGUAAGAGUGAGAGAGGAAGCAGGAAGGUGCCAUACACUUUUCAAUAGCUAGAUUUCAUGAGACCUCAGUCACUGUCACAAAAAUAGCACCAAGGGGAUGAUGCCAAACCAUUCAAGAGAAACAUAAACUUAUCAUUCAACUACCUCCCUCCAACAUUGGAGAUUACAAUUCAAUAUGAGAUUUGAGCCACAACACAUAUCCAAACUAUAUCACUAUUGAUCCUGAGAAUUUUUAUUCUCAUUUACUUGUUUUCCACCACUCACCUCUUUCUUUCCUUAAACUUUUUGAAGAUUUUCUACUGUUGGUGAGCCAUAAUUACAUUAUAGCGUAUUGAAUGGGUGGAAUUCAGGAGUAUCUGGAUGCAAUCAGUGCGUUCUCUUUCACUGCUAGCUAUCUCGUCUGCUAUUCCUUCAUGAAAUCUCCGGCACAUUGGGCACUCGCACAUACUAACAGUUUCAUAUCCCAGGUACUAAAAUGUCCAAUGCAGGUUAAUAUUAAACUUUCCCAUUCCCCCUCAACUUUGGUGGGCUUUAAGCUUCAGUGAAGAAAAGGAGUGUAUAUGAGAGAGAGAGAGUUAACUGAUCCUCCAGAGGCUCUGGAGAAAAGUCAUUUCCUUCCUUUUCCAGCUUGCAGAGCUGCAUUCAUUGCGUUCAUCAGCUCCUGGUCCUUUCCUGAAGCCCCUUUAAGUCAGCAGCUUAGCACAGCUUCAGUCCUAACACCGCCUAUCUUCGUUAGCCGUAUAUCUGCCUCUGCUUCCCUCUUACAGGGACACUUGUGAUUACUUUAUUUGGCCCACCUGGAUAAUCUCGGCUACUCUCAUCUCAAGAUCCUUAACUUGAUCACAUCUGCAAAAUCCUUACCAUAUAAAGUAGCAUUCAUAGGUACUAGGAAUUAAGACAUGAACAUCCUUGGGGGCCACAAUUCAGCAAACUGCAUUCAGCCUACAGAAUUAAAGCCACAACAACAAAAAAGAUUGUACACUAAUUGGAAUUCUAACUACCAAAUUUUACGGUCCUCAUCCUACUACCAUUCUCUGUUGCAUUUAAAAUAGCUAACCAUUUGUCCCUUCUUUAAACAGUUUUCUACAUUGGAUUCCAGAUGCUGUCUUUCUUUUCUACCUCUUCUGCUAGAUUCCAUUCUCUUUCACCCAACUUUUUGACUCUGCAUUCAUUCCACCCCCAUUUCUCUAUGCCCAUGUCUCCCACUGUCAUAAUUCCUAAUGAGUCACAAAUCUAUAUUUCAAGCUCCAGUCUCUUUUUCACUAGUAUAUGUAACCACAUUUUGGGCAUAGUCCUCUGAAACUCAUUGUUUCCAAAAACGAACCCAUUAUCUUGUCAGGCAAACUUGCCAGUCUUCUCAUAUAUUUUUUUGUUUUUCUUUCAUUUUAUUCUCAUUGGCACUAUCAUUGUUUAGGGCCUUAAUUUUAUUUUAUUCCUGAACUGCUGUAGCAGCCUUUAAUUGGUAGCCCCACCCUCAGUCUUUCCUCACUCAAAUCCAUUUUUCACAUCAUGGCUAGAUUACUAUUUCUUUUUUUGGAGUGCAGUGGUGUGAUCUUGGCUCACUGCAACCUUCACCUCCUGAGUUCAAGGGAUUCUCCUGCCUCAGCCUCCCAAAUAACUGGGAUUACAGGCCUAGACCACCACCCCCACUAAUUUUUGUAUUUUUAGUAGAGACAGGGUUUCGCCAAGUUGGCCAGGCUGGUUUUGAACCCCUAACUUCAAGUGAUCCAUCCUCCUCAGCAUUCCAAAGUGCUAGGAUUACAGGCAUGAGCCACCGCACCAGACUUAGAUUAACAUUUUUAAAACUCAAAAGUAGUCAUAUAACUCUAUAUGCAUAAAAUGACAACAACAACAACAAAAUCUUAGAGGCUGGGUGCAGUGGCUCAUGUCUGUAAUUCCAGCACUUUGGAAGGCCAAGGCGUGUGGAUCACCUGAGGUCAGGAGUUUAAGACCAGCCUGAGCAAUAUGGAGAAAUCCUGUCUCUACUAAAAAUGCAAAAUUAACCGGGUAUGGUGGUGCAUGCCUGUAAUCCCAGCUACUGGGGAGACUGAGGCAAAAGAAUCACUUGAACCUGGGAGGCGGAGGUUGUGGGGAGCUGAGAUCACACCAUUGCACUCCAGCCUGGGCAACAAGAGCAAAACUCCAUCUAAAAAAAAAAUUAGAUAACCACUUCCAUCCCCAAGAUAAAUUUAGAAUUUUGACCCCUCACAUUGAAUGUCAUUUUUAAUCUGGCCCUGCUCUAACUCUUCAUGUUCUUUUAUUGUCACUUCUUUUCAACUCCCAGCCACACUAGAUGAAUCUAUUUCCAGGAAACAUCUUGCACUUUCAGAAUGGCUGGUAUUUCCUUUUUUUCUACGUUUUCCUAAAUAGCAUUCUGCUAAGAUGAAACUCUCCUC
rnacentral:lncRNA from 1 species